GGGGGUAUAGCUCAGUGGUAGAAUGUUUGCCUAGUAAGCAUAAUGCCUCUGGGUUCUAUCCCCA
rnacentral:tRNA from 1 species